rnacentral:lncRNA from 1 species
GCAAAACGAAUCCUCACUAACUAGCUUGUUAUUCAAUAGGAUUUUCAAACCCCUCUUCAAAGUUUGCAUUUUUACUCUCGUUUUUAGAUUUUAGCUUCUGGGUUUGUAGUUUAAACUUGUUUUUCUUUUGUUGUUCUAAACAAAUUUUGAUAUUUUGGUAUCUGAAACAUAAACUGGACAGUGAUGAUUCCUUUUAUAGGUCUCGUUCGUCGUAAUUGGUCAUUUUUUGAUCUUGCCGACAAUACUGUUUUCUGAGUCCUCCUUCUUCAAACUGAAUUUUAUUGUAUUUAUCUCAAUCUUAUGUUUCUGUUCGAUUUUGCGUAUGUUGUUUUUUGAUGUCGUAAUGAUUACAAUCAUAUGAAUAUUGUCUAUGAUGAUAUGUUGAAGGCUUGUUUCUCAAAACAUUCGCAGUGGCCGACCAAGAGCUUUCGCCUUCGCCAGGCUUGAGAGCUUAUGCUGUUUUUAUCCUUCCUUGGAUGUCUGAGACAAUAUUCUUAACAAUUUUUCAAAUUUAUAUUUCGAUAUUUGCAUAGAUAAUUAUGGUCAUAUAAUACUAGGUUUCAUUGUUUUACUUGAGGUUUUAUUUACUGGCUAUGAUGAAUUAUAGAGAUAGUCAUGCACCACUCUGAUUUCUAGUGCUGAUAAUUUUCUCAUACCCAUUAUUUUUCUGAGCUAUUUCCAUUUAUCAUCUAUUAAUUACCAUUGUUUUUAUUGGUUCUUCUUUUAUUGAUUUAUAUUAAUGUGAUCUUUAAAUUGGAAACCAAAUGUCAUGAUUUGUUUAUGUAAACUAUUUAAAAACUUUCACCAUUUCCUUAUUUGAAUAAGGAAUCGUGAUUCGUUGUGAAAUGCAACUUUUUUAAAAUUUAAUUUAAAAAAUAUGUUAAUUUUGUUAGAGGAACUUGUUUUAUUGAAUUUACUUUUAUUGUGAGGAACUAAUUCUUAUUUUUGGUAUGACAUAACUAAUGCCUUUUGGUACUGUAAGAGUAUUUUUUUGGUUUUGUUUUAUCGGUUGAUGGAUUAUCGUUUUAUAGGAUUCAUUUGGUUGGAUUGAAUCGGUUAGGACCAAUAAAUUCUAACCUGAAUUCUAUCAUUCCUAUAACACUAAUCACAUGACUACUAAUUAAACUUCAUUCUAUAUAAUUAAAAGAAUUAAUAAACUAUAAAUUAUUUUCAUUAUAUUAAAUUUUCAUCAUCAUCUAAGUGAAAAAGUAUUAGCAUUAUAUUACAAUUACAUUAUCAUUCAAGUGAUAAUUUGAUAUAAAGUUGAAGGUUAUGUGGACUUGGUUAAUUUACUUGGCUGUGUUGUAACCCUUCAUACCAUAAUCAACAUGUUGCUUGAGUAAUAAAUAGGUUAUACAACCCUUUAUACCAUACAAACUUUGCUUUUGCCCAACCCUUUAUACCAUACAAACUUUGCCCAACCCUUUAUACCAUAAUCAACAUGUUGUUGCUUGAGUAAAACAACAUGUUGCUUGAGUAAAAAAAGGUUAUAUAAACUUUGCCCAUGACUAAUCUUAAUAGUCCCGGCUAGUCUUCUUAGUUAUAACAAAUGCAUAAAUCUAUUAGAGUUCACUAUUUUAUAAACGGUAACAUAAGAAGUACUGUAACCAUUAAAAUUGAAAAUCAAAGUCAUACAUACUACAAUAACAGAAAACAAACAAGGGUCUAUAUAAAGGAAUAUUGAAAAAUGAACCUAACAAUAACAGAAAACAAACAAGGAUCUAUAUAAAGGAGUAUUGAAAAAUGAACCUAACAAUAACAGAAAACAAACAAGGGUCUAUAUAAAGGAGUAUUGAAAAAUGAACCUAAUAUGAGAUCUCCUAUAAGGCUAACAACAUAACUUUUGAAUCCAAAUACAAACCUUCCUCCCUACAUAUCAAAGCUCAAAGGUUGACCAAAUGGAGCCUGCAAAAUAAAAUAAAGGUAUCUUAGUAGUUGUUGCAACGGUAUCUUAGUAGUUGUUGCAACACAGCUAAGUAGGUUCAGUUGGCAAGGUGUCAUUUCAUAUUUCAUAAAUAAUCCCCAACCUCCAAUUUGAGGGGGAGUAUUAGAGUUAGUUAAUUAGCUGAAUUUCAAAUGUAUUUUAAUUAGUUACUUGAUCAAUAAGUUAGCCAAGUCCACAUGUUUGUUACAAGUUGUAGGACUUGUGAUCUUCAGCUUUCUUCUUCUUCUCUCAAGUCAUCACCAAUUUGUGAUGGUGAUGUAGUUAACUUUUCUUAAAUAUUUGAGAAUAUUUUGGCUUAUAAUGAACUUGUAAUGUAAGGGGAAGCAUAUGCAUUUAAUAAAGAAUCAGC